rnacentral:rRNA from 1 species
AAUGAACGCUGGCGGCAUGCCUUACACAUGCAAGUCGAACGGCAGCAUGACCUAGCUUGCUUGGUUGAUGGCGAGUGGCGAACGGGUGAGUAAUGCAUCGGAACGUGCCUUUUAGUGGGGGAUAACGUAGCGAAAGUUACGCUAAUACCGCAUAUUCUCUGAGGAGGAAAGCAGGGGACCUUCGGGCCUUGCGCUAGAAGAGCGGCCGAUGUCGGAUUAGCUAGUUGGUGAGGUAAAGGCGCACCAAGGCAACGAUCCGUAGCGGGUCUGAGAGGAUGAUCCGCCACACUGGGACUGAGAGACGGCCCAGACUCCUACGGGAGGCAGCAGUGGGGAAUUUUGGACAAUGGGCGCAAGCCUGAUCCAGCCAUGCCGCGUGAGUGAAGAAGGCCUUCGGGUUGUAAAGCUCUUUCGGCUGGGAAGAAAUCGCACCCUCUAAUACAGGGUGUGGAUGACGGUACCAGCAUAAGAAGCACCGGCUAACUACGUG